UUGUUGAUUUACGUUUACUUUCGUCCAUUUGUUCAAAAAGAUUAAUGAAAUUGAUAUGUACUUCAAAUAUAACCAGUUAAAUUCUUAAUUUGUUGUUCGGCGAAUGCAAAAGAAACAGACGCUCUUGUUUCCAUAUCGAUAGAAGGGGAGAACAAUUAAAAUGAUUAAUACGUGAUUAAAAUCGGACUCUCUUUUUACAUUUGAUUAUCUGAUUAUCUUAUUAUCUUUUUAUCAGCGUCGGCGUCAGCAUGUGGGUUCAGUCUGUGGCGAAAAUGUGUAAGUCAUCAACAAUUUUGUCAAAACUUCCUAAAAGUUUAUGAAACUUCGACAUUUUCUCGCAUCGUACUAAGACUAUUAUAAAUUGAUACUAUAUAAUAAAAGGCAAUAAAAACGAUAAAAAUAUAUCAAGGAUUUUAUAAGACUUGCU
rnacentral:lncRNA from 1 species